rnacentral:pre_miRNA from 1 species
UCACCUGAGAAUUUGUUAAAAUGCAGAUUCUGACUUAGUAGGUUUGCAUUUCUGCAUUUCUAACAAUUUCCAUGG